ACGGGUGAGUAACACGUGGGCAACCUGCCUUGAAGUGGGGGAUAGCCCUCCGAAAGGAGGAUUAAUACCGCAUAACAUCAGUACAUCGCAUGAUGAAUUGAUUAAAGGAGUAAUCCGCUUCAAGAUGGGCCCGCGGCGCAUUAGCUAGUUGGUGAGGUAACGGCUCACCAAGGCGACGAUGCGUAGCCGACCUGAGAGGGUGAUCGGCCACAUUGGGACUGAGACACGGCCCAGACUCC
rnacentral:rRNA from 1 species